UUAAGCGACUAAGCGUACACGGUGGAUGCCCUGGCAGUCAGAGGCGAUGAAGGACGUGCUAAUCUGCGAUAAGCGUCGGUAAGGUGAUAUGAACCGUUAUAACCGGCGAUUUCCGAAUGGGGAAACCCAGUGUGUUUCGACACACUAUCAUUAACUGAAUCCAUAGGUUAAUGAGGCGAACCGGGGGAACUGAAACAUCUAAGUACCCCGAGGAAAAGAAAUCAACCGAGAUUCCCCCAGUAGCGGCGAGCGAACGGGGAGCAGCCCAGAGCCUGAAUCAGUGUGUGUGUUAGUGGAAGCGUCUGGAAAGGCGCGCGAUACAGGGUGACAGCCCCGUACACAAAAAUGCACAUGCUGUGAGCUCGAUGAGUAGGGCGGGACACGUGGUAUCCUGUCUGAAUAUGGGGGGACCAUCCUCCAAGGCUAAAUACUCCUGACUGACCGAUAGUGAACCAGUACCGUGAGGGAAAGGCGAAAAGAACCCCGGCGAGGGGAGUGAAAAAGAACCUGAAACCGUGUACGUACAAGCAGUGGGAGCACGCUUAGGCGUGUGACUGCGUACCUUUUGUAUAAUGGGUCAGCGACUUAUAUUCUGUAGCAAGGUUAACCGAAUAGGGGAGCCGAAGGGAAACCGAGUCUUAACUGGGCGUUAAGUUGCAGGGUAUAGACCCGAAACCCGGUGAUCUAGCCAUGGGCAGGUUGAAGGUUGGGUAACACUAACUGGAGGACCGAACCGACUAAUGUUGAAAAAUUAGCGGAUGACUUGUGGCUGGGGGGGAAAGGCCAAUCAAACCGGGAGAUAGCUGGUUCUCCCCGAAAGCUAUUUAGGUAGCGCCUCGUGAAUUCAUCUCCGGGGGUAGAGCACUGUUUCGGCAAGGGGGUCAUCCCGACUUACCAACCCGAUGCAAACUGCGAAUACCGGAGAAUGUUAUCACGGGAGACACACGGCGGGUGCUAACGUCCGUCGUGAAGAGGGAAACAACCCAGACCGCCAGCUAAGGUCCCAAAGUCAUGGUUAAGUGGGAAACGAUGUGGGAAGGCCCAGACAGCCAGGAUGUUGGCUUAGAAGCAGCCAUCAUUUAAAGAAAGCGUAAUAGCUCACUGGUCGAGUCGGCCUGCGCGGAAGAUGUAACGGGGCUAAACCAUGCACCGAAGCUGCGGCAGCGACGCUGAUGCGUUGUUGGGUAGGGGAGCGUUCUGUAAGCCUGCGAAGGUGUGCUGUGAGGCAUGCUGGAGGUAUCAGAAGUGCGAAUGCUGACAUAAGUAACGAUAAAGCGGGUGAAAAGCCCGCUCGCCGGAAGACCAAGGGUUCCUGUCCAACGUUAAUCGGGGCAGGGUGAGUCGACCCCUAAGGCGAGGCCGAAAGGCGUAGUCGAUGGGAAACAGGUUAAUAUUCCUGUACUUGGUGUUACUGCGAAGGGGGGACGGAGAAGGCUAUGUUGGCCGGGCGACGGUUGUCCCGGUUUAAGCGUGUAGGCUGGUUUUCCAGGCAAAUCCGGAAAAUCAAGGCUGAGGCGUGAUGACGAGGCACUACGGUGCUGAAGCAACAAAUGCCCUGCUUCCAGGAAAAGCCUCUAAGCAUCAGGUAACAUCAAAUCGUACCCCAAACCGACACAGGUGGUCAGGUAGAGAAUACCAAGGCGCUUGAGAGAACUCGGGUGAAGGAACUAGGCAAAAUGGUGCCGUAACUUCGGGAGAAGGCACGCUGAUAUGUAGGUGAAGCCACUUGCUCAUGGAGCUGAAAUCAGUCGAAGAUACCAGCUGGCUGCAACUGUUUAUUAAAAACACAGCACUGUGCAAACACGAAAGUGGACGUAUACGGUGUGACGCCUGCCCGGUGCCGGAAGGUUAAUUGAUGGGGUCAGCGCAAGCGAAGCUCUUGAUCGAAGCCCCGGUAAACGGCGGCCGUAACUAUAACGGUCCUAAGGUAGCGAAAUUCCUUGUCGGGUAAGUUCCGACCUGCACGAAUGGCGUAAUGAUGGCCAGGCUGUCUCCACCCGAGACUCAGUGAAAUUGAACUCGCUGUGAAGAUGCAGUGUACCCGCGGCAAGACGGAAAGACCCCGUGAACCUUUACUAUAGCUUGACACUGAACAUUGAGCCUUGAUGUGUAGGAUAGGUGGGAGGCUUUGAAGUGUGGACGCCAGUCUGCAUGGAGCCGACCUUGAAAUACCACCCUUUAAUGUUUGAUGUUCUAACGUGGACCCGUGAUCCGGGUUGCGGACAGUGUCUGGUGGGUAGUUUGACUGGGGCGGUCUCCUCCUAAAGAGUAACGGAGGAGCACGAAGGUUGGCUAAUCCUGGUCGGACAUCAGGAGGUUAGUGCAAUGGCAUAAGCCAGCUUGACUGCGAGCGUGACGGCGCGAGCAGGUGCGAAAGCAGGUCAUAGUGAUCCGGUGGUUCUGAAUGGAAGGGCCAUCGCUCAACGGAUAAAAGGUACUCCGGGGAUAACAGGCUGAUACCGCCCAAGAGUUCAUAUCGACGGCGGUGUUUGGCACCUCGAUGUCGGCUCAUCACAUCCUGGGGCUGAAGUAGGUCCCAAGGGUAUGGCUGUUCGCCAUUUAAAGUGGUACGCGAGCUGGGUUUAGAACGUCGUGAGACAGUUCGGUCCCUAUCUGCCGUGGGCGCUGGAGAACUGAGGGGGGCUGCUCCUAGUACGAGAGGACCGGAGUGGACGCAUCACUGGUGUUCGGGUUGUCAUGCCAAUGGCACUGCCCGGUAGCUAAAUGCGGAAGAGAUAAGUGCUGAAAGCAUCUAAGCACGAAACUUGCCCCGAGAUGAGUUCUCCCUGACUCCUUGAGGGUCCUGAAGGAACGUUGAAGACGACGACGUUGAUAGGCCGGGUGUGUAAGCGCAGCGAUGCGUUGAGCUAACCGGUACUAAUGAACCGUGAGGCUUAACCUU
rnacentral:rRNA from 1 species